AUAAACGGCCGCAUAGUCGCACGUUUCUUAUUUAAGUCACAGAAGAAGCUCAAAAGACGAGCACUUAACCUGUUUCCACGGUUCAUUGGCAAAGUUCCAACAAAAAGAUGGAUUGGGAGGGGCAGAAGCUAUCAGAGCAUCUGAUGCAGAUUAUGCUGGUGAUGUUUGCCGUUGUGGCGUUCUCCACUGGUUACAUGAUGGACUCCUUUCGAAACAUGCUCCUCAUUUACGCAGGGGGUACAGUUCUAACCAUGUUGAUCACUGUUCCUGACUGGCCCUUCUUCAAUCACCACCCACUCAACUGGUUGGCAAGCAAGGAGGCUGAUCUCAAUCCGAAGCCUAAGAUCCAGCCCCCAACCCUCAAAAGGAAGACAAGCAAGACUUCUAUUAAGUAGGAAUUGUAAGAUUUUUCCUCAUUUGUGGGUCUUAUCCAUAGCCAACAGUUGUGAUGUCACUUGAUUUGUAAUACUUUUAGAUAAUGGGGAGUAGUGUUUCCCACUUUUCUUUAACUUGAUGCAUUUUGGGGUAUGACUUCUAUGUUUUUAUAAUGGUUCUUUUGCAAUUUGGUACAGUUUACUUCC